CAAAGAAAUAAGAACAGAGAUUAAGAGAUCACACCUAAAAGCCUGUAGAGCAUUGUGACAGUGUUACUGCCUCUGUAUCUGCAGUUGUUGGACUCUUCUCACUGUUCACAGUCUAAGCAGGGAGAUUGCACUGUAGACCUCCUGUCUUACAGUAUGGAUAGAUUUAGGUGUCAACAAUCAAGUAAGAACAAGGAUACUUCCUUUCAGUAAGUGAAAGUACUUCCAUAUUCCCUUUCAGAUUUCCAAAUUCCUGGUCAUAUUGAAUGGUUCACUUUAAUUCUGGGGAUCAAUAAACA
ensembl:lncRNA